rnacentral:rRNA from 1 species
UGGGGAAUAUUGGACAAUGGGCGCAAGCCUGAUCCAGCCAUGCCGCGUGGAUGAUGAAGGCCCUAGGGUUGUAAAGUCCUUUUAACGGGGAAGAUAAUGACGGUACCCGUAGAAUAAGCCCCGGCUAACUUCGUGCCAGCAGCCGCGGUAAUACGAAGGGGGCUAGCGUUGCUCGGAAUUACUGGGCGUAAAGCGCACGUAGGCGGUUUCUUAAGUCGGGGGUGAAAUCCUGGAGCUCAACUCCAGAACUGCCUUCGAUACUGGGAAACUUGAGUCCGGGAGAGGUGAGUGGAACUGCGAGUGUAGAGGUGAAAUUCGUAGAUAUUCGCAAGAACACCAGUGGCGAAGGCGGCUCACUGGCCCGGUACUGACGCUGAGGUGCGAAAGCGUGGGGAGCAAACAG